CCUACGGGAGGCAGCAGUAGGGAAUCUUCCACAAUGGGCGAAAGCCUGAUGGAGCAACGCCGCGUGGGUGAAGAAGGUCUUCGGAUCGUAAAACCCUGUUGUUAGAGAAGAAAGUGCGUGAGAGUAACUGUUCACGUUUCGACGGUAUCUAACCAGAAAGCCACGGCUAACUACGUGCCAGCAGCCGCGGUAAUACGUAGGUGGCAAGCGUUAUCCGGAUUUAUUGGGCGUAAAGGGAACGCAGGGGGUCUUUUAAGUCUGAUUUGAAAGCCUUCGGCUUAACCGGAGUAGUGCAUUGGAAACUGGGAGACGUGAGUGCAGAAGAGGAGAGUGGAACUCGAUGUGUAGCGGUGAAAUGCGUAGAUAUAUGGAAGAACACCAGUGGCGAAAGCGGCUCUCUGGUCUGUAACUGACGCUGAGGUUCGAAAGCGUGGGUAGCAAACAGGAUUAGAUACCCCUGUAGUC
rnacentral:rRNA from 1 species